UACGGAGGGUGCGAGCGUUGUCCGGAAUCACUGGGCGUAAAGAGCUCGUAGGCGGUUCGUCGCGUCGGCUGUGAAAACCCGGAGCUCAACUCCGGGCCUGCAGUCGAUACGGGCGGGCUAGAGUUCGGCAGGGGAGACUGGAAUUCCUGGUGUAGCGGUGAAAUGCGCAGAUAUCAGGAGGAACACCGGUGGCGAAGGCGGGUCUCUGGGCCGAUACUGACGCUGAGGAGCGAAAGCGUGGGGAGCGAACAGG
rnacentral:rRNA from 1 species